UGGCGAUCAGCAAUCACUUGA
rnacentral:piRNA from 1 species